CCUACGGGUGGCAGCAGUGAGGAAUAUUGGUCAAUGGACGGAAGUCUGAACCAGCCAUGCCGCGUGCAGGAAGACGGCUCUCUGAGUUGUAAACUGCUUUUGUACAAGGGUAAACCUGAAUACGUGUAUUCAGCUGAAUGUACUGUACGAAUAAGGAUCGGCUAACUCCGGGCCAGCAGCGGCGGUAAUACGGAGGAUCCAAGCGUUAUCCGGAUUUAUUGGGUUUAAAGGGUGCGUAGGCGGAUUGUUAAGUUAGAGGUGAAAUGUCCGAGCUUAACUCGGGAACUGCAUCUAAUACUGUUGAGCUAGAGAGUAGAUGCGGUAGGCGGAAUGUAUGGUGUAGCGGUGAAAUGCUUAGAGAUCAUACAGAACACCGAUUGCGAAGGCAGCUUACCAAUCUAUAACUGACGUUGAGGCACGAAAGCGUGGGGAGCAAACAGGAUUAGAUACCCUUGUAGUC
rnacentral:rRNA from 1 species